rnacentral:rRNA from 1 species
UGGGGAAUAUUGGACAAUGGGCGAAAGCCUGAUCCAGCAAUACCGCGUGAAUGAUGAAGGCCUUCGGGUUGUAAAGUUCUUUUAGUAGGAAAGAUAAUGACGGUACCUACAGAAAAAGCACCGGCUAACUUCGUGCCAGCAGCCGCGGUAAUACGAAGGGUGCAAGCGUUGUUCGGAUUUACUGGGUGUAAAGCGUGUUAAGGUGGUUUAGUAAGUUGAUUAUUAAAGCCCGGGGCUCAACUUCGGUUCUAUAAUCAAUACUGCUUUACUAGAGUGCGAUAAGCGAUGGCGGAAUUCUUAGUGUAGGGGUAGAAUCCGUAGAUAUUAAGAGGAACACCGGUGGUGAAGACGGCUAUCUUGGUCGCAACUGACACUGAAACACGAAGGCGUGGGGAGCAAA